GUGAUGGCUACAUUGUCAAUGCCCUCACAAACUUUUCUUUCUUAGUGCUUCCAGAAAUAUCGGUGUCUGCCUUCGGUGGCAUGGUGGACUGACUCUAAUAUCAACCAAGCACUUCCUCGGACCAUUCAUUCAUUUAGCAAAGCAGUUACUGAGUGUGGCAGGCAGUUCCCAGCAUGCAACACAAGCCCACCCACUAUGUUGAUCCAGUGACAGCCCAGUAAGCGCGGCAGGAUGAAGGAAGGUUUUCUCCACCCUGGCAACAGCCCAGCCAAUGACAGAGGGUACAGCCAGCCAAUGAGAGACCAACACAACCCAGCCAAUGAGAGACCUCACAGCCCAGCCAAUAGGAAGCCGCCACCACCCCGAACCCUGGCUGCCGUCUGUUUUGUUUCUAUUUACUGAAGCUUCUUGGUACCUCACCAUCCUACUCAAAAUGGAUAAAACAUGUGAUUCCCAGUGAUUUGGAACAGCUGUUGGCAGACAGCGACCCUCAUAGUUGAGACAUUUUAGGGAAUCCAAAGGCAAGAUAGGUUCCACCUGGUCUUUGGACCAGGCUUUUGUGCUUUUCCGGAAAAAUAGCCUUUGAAGAUGCAACAGGAAGAGCCCUACCUUGCAUUCAGUCAGGACCAAGUUCGCUUUACCACCCCUGCAGGAGGAAGAAAGAUUUUCUUCUGACCUGGCAACAGCCCAGCCAAUGACAGAGGGCACAGCCAGCCAAUGAGAGAUGGUCACCACCCUGAACUCUCGCUUUCAUCCAAUGGACUUUUGUUCAAAGCAGCCCCUCACAACUUCCUCCUUUUUCUCUAUAAAGAGACAUUUCUCUGCUUUGUUUUCCAGACUUGCCCAUGGGUUGACAUAGUUUGUGUGUCCCCAAUUGCAGUUUCUCUGCUAUUCCUGAAUAAACCCAUUUUGCUUGU